GCGUGAGUGAAGAAGGUUUUCGGAUCGUAAAACUCUGUUGUAAGGGAAGAACACGUACGAGAGUAACUGCUCGUACCUUGACGGUACCUUAUUAGAAAGCCACGGCUAACUACGUGCCAGCAGCCGCGGUAAUACGUAGGUGGCAAGCGUUGUCCGGAAUUAUUGGGCGUAAAGCGCGCGCAGGCGGUCCUUUAAGUCUGAUGUGAAAGCCCACGGCUCAACCGUGGAGGGUCAUUGGAAACUGGGGGACUUGAGUACAGAAGAGGAAAGCGGAAUUCCAAGUGUAGCGGUGAAAUGCGUAGAGAUUUGGAGGAACACCAGUGGCGAAGGCGGCUUUCUGGUCUGUAACUGACGCUGAGGCGCGAAAGCGUGGGGAGCAAACAGGAUUAGAUACCCUGGUAGUCCACGCCGUAAACGAUGAGUGCUAAGUGUUAGGGGGUUUCCGCCCCUUAGUGCUGCAGCUAACGCAUUAAGCACUCCGCCUGGGGAGUACGGCCGCAAGGCUG
rnacentral:rRNA from 1 species